UUUUUUUUUUUUUUUUGCACCUUUAAGAACAUCAAAUAGACAGAGUGCUUCUGGACUGCUGGUUGGCCUGAUUAAGUACAGAGAUUUAAUUUGGUCCGUGAUGUCUCUAGUAUGUUUUUUAUCGGGUAUGGUGACUAAGAAUUGGGGCUUUGGGACUUCCUGUCAUGGCUCAGUGGUUAACAAAUCUGACUAGGAACCAUGAGGUUGUGGGUUCGAUCCCUGCCCUUGCUCAGUGGGUUAAGGAUCCGGCAUUGCCGUGAGCUGUGGUGUAGGUUGCAGACGCAGCUCAGAUCUCGCAUUGCUGUGGCUCUGGCGUAGGCUGGUGGCUGCAGCUCCGAUUCGACCCCUAGCCUGGGAACCUCCACGUGCCACGGGAGUGGCCCUAGAAAAGGCAAAAAGACAACAACAACAAAAAGAAUUGGGGCUUUGGGGCUUGGGAGUCAGAUGGCCUGGAUUAGAAUGCUGGCUGGGUGUGUGAUUUGGGGAAAGUUUGUUGACCUCUCUGAACUUCAGCUGCUCAUCUGUUAAAUGUGUUGUUAGACAGAAUCAAUGAGAUAUGUACCAAAAGUGCUUAGUAUUCAACACAACAGCCAUUGUUAUUGUUGUUGUUGUUGUUGUUAUUGUUAUUCACUGGGGACUGGCAAGGUCAGGGCUGACUGAGGCUGCUUGGCUUGCUCCAGAGUCCCCACCUGAGGGCUUAGCAUGACUUCCUCUGGGCAGUUCCCCACCCAAGGGUGAGCAGUCAUAAGGACCAGCAGCCUCUUGCUAUAAGAGCCACACUGGAGGAGUUCCCCAUCGCGGCGCAGCGGAAACAAAUCCGACUAGGAACCAUGAGGUUGUGGGUUUGAUCCUUGGCCUCGCUCAGUGGGUUAAGGGUCCGGUGUUGCUGUGGCUGUGGAGUAGGCCGGGGGCUACAGCUCAAGUUCGACCCCUAGCAUGGGAACAGGUGCCACAGGUGCAGCCCCAAAAAGACAAAAAAAAAAAAAAGAGAGAGAGAGAGAGAGAGAGCCACACUGGACAUUACUAAAUCCUUUUGACAGGGAUUGGGCACCUAUGUCCCCCAACUCACGGCCAAGAGUCUCCAUACUCCACGCUAGCUGGUGAUCUAGAAAUCUAGGGACUGUCCUUGCUACUUUGGGGGGAAAUAGAAGUUUUUCCAACUUCUUUGAGGUCUCUCUCCCCCCCAGGGCUUGUCAGAGGCCCAUGUUGGAAGGACAGGAUCUCAAGGAGAAAAGACUCGCUUUAAGGUUCUACUCAGCUCCCGGCAUCCCCCAGAGGGACAGGGGCCUGCAGUCUCUCAGACCCGGAAGCGAGGUGCCCAGCUAUCCAUCAGUAGUAAACUAAGACUGCUGCAACAACGUCCCAAAGCUAGAUGGCCAAAACCAGAAAUCUAUGGGAGUUCCUGCUGUGGCUCAGCUCAGUUAAGAACCUAGUGCAGCAGCUCUGGUCACUGCAGAGGUAUGGGUUUGAUCCCUGGCCGGGUGCAGUGUGUUAAAUGAUCUGGUAUUGCUGCAGCUGUGGCGCAGGUGGGAACUGUAGCUCAGAUUCAAUCCCUGGCCUGGGAGUGUCCAUGUGCCGUGGGUACGGCCAUAAAAUUAAACGACAAGAACAGAAACAGAAGUGUCUUUUCUCACAGUUCUGGAGGCUAGAGUCCAAAAUGGAGGUGAUGACAGAGCCAAGCCCUGUGCGAGAGCCCCGGGGGAGGACCCGUCCUCGGCUCCAAGAGCUUCUUGCUUUUUUGCCAGGACGCCUUGGCCACCCUUGCCUCAUAAACACACCGCUUCAGUCUCCUGAUGCUUCCUCGCCGGUGUCUUCGGGGGGGUCUUUCCUCUGAGCCGAUCUGGCCACAUGUCCGUAUUUCUCCCUUUCACAAGGACCUCAGUUCUAUUGGACCAGACACCCCCACCCCCUGAGAUGUGUUUUAUCUGGGCGACCUCUGCAAAGCCACAUUUCCAGGCCACUCUCUGAGGUUCUGGGGGUCAGGACUUCAGGCGACCUUUUUGGGAGGGAGUUGCAAUCCAGUUCAUCAUACCAUCUGCAAUGGUUAAUUUUCUGUGUCAACUUGGCCAGGCCACGCUACCCAGAUAUCUGAUCCCACAUUAUUCAUGGUGUUUCUGUGCAGUUAUUUUUCAGAUAAGAUUAACCCUUAAAUCAGGAGACUUUGAGUAAAGCAGCUUACCCUCCAUCUGAUCAGGUGAAGCCUUAAUAGAAAAAAAAAGGAUCUUCUGGAAGAGGAGGGGAUUCUGCCAGCAGAUAGGUCACCUUUGGGAUCUCACUGAAGACCUUCUCUGAUCUCUAGGCUUCCAACUCACCCUGAAGAUUUGGGAGCCAAUUGCUUGAAUCAAAUUUUCUCUCUCUCUCUACCUGUCUUGUCAUCCCCUCCCCAUAGAUAGGCCAAUAGGUGUAGGUGUAGCUAUAGAUAUGGAAAUUGACAUAGAGUUCCCAUCAUGGCGCAGCGGAAACGAAUCUGAUUAGGAACCAUGAGGUUGCAGGUUCAAUUCCUGGCCUCACUCAGGGGGUUAAGGAUCCAGCAUUGCCGUGAGCUGUGGUAUAGGCCGCAGACGUGGCUUGGAUCUGGCAUUGCUGUGGCUGUGGCGCAGGCCGGCAGCUGUAGCUUCGAUUGGAUCCCUAGCCUGGGACCCUCCAUAUGUCGCGGGUGCGGUCCUACAAAGAAAAAGAAAAAAAA
rnacentral:lncRNA from 1 species